AAAGGAAUUGACGGGGGCCCGCACAAGCGGUGGAGCAUGUGGUUUAAUUCGACGCAACGCGAAGAACCUUACCAGGGUUUGACAUCCUCUGACAGCCAUUGAAAGGUGGUUUUCUGACUUCGGUCAGACAGAGAGACAGGUGGUGCAUGGUUGUCGUCAGCUCGUGUCGUGAGAUGUUGGGUUAAGUCCCGCAACGAGCGCAACCCCUACGUUUAGUUGCUAACACAUAAAGGUGAGCACUCUAGAAGAACUGCCGUUGACAAAACGGAGGAAGGUGGGGAUGACGUCAAAUCAUCAUGCCCCUUAUGUCCUGGGCUACACACGUGCUACAAUGGCCGGUACAAAGGGAAGCGAAGCCGCGAGGCGGAGCAAAUCCGAAAAAAGCCGGUCUCAGUUCGGAUUGCAGGCUGCAAUUCGCCUGCAUGAAGUCGGAAUCGCUAGUAAUCGCAGGUCAGCAUACUGCGGUGAAUACGUUCCCGGGCCUUGUACACACCGCCCGU
rnacentral:rRNA from 1 species